AGUGAACGCUGGCGGUAGGCCUAACACAUGCAAGUCGAACGGCAGCACAGUAAGAGCUUGCUCUUACGGGUGGCGAGUGGCGGGCGGGUGAGGAAUACAUCGGACUCUACUUUUUCGGGGGGGAUAACGUAGGGAAACUUACGCUAAUACCGCAUACGACCUACGGGUGAAAGCAGUGGAUCUUCUGACCUUGCGCGAUUGAAUGCGCCGAUGUCGGAUUAGCUAGUUGGCGGGGUAAAGGCCCACCAAGUCGACGAUCCGUAGCUGGUCUGAGAGGAUGGUCGGCGACACUGGAACUGAGACACGGUCCAGACUCCUACGGGAGGCAGCAGUGGGGAAUAUUGGACAAUGGGCGCAAGCCUGAUCCAGCCAUACCGCGUGGGUGAAGAAGGCCUUCGGGUUGUAAAGCCCUUUUGUUGGGAAAGAAAAGCAGCAGGUUAAUACCCCGCUGUUCUGACGGUACCCAAAGAAUAAGCACCGGCUAACUUCGUG
rnacentral:rRNA from 1 species